GGAGGGGUGCCUGAGUGGACGAAAGGACCGGUUUUGAAAACCGGCGACGGGGUGACUCGUCCGUGGGUUCGAAUCCCACCUCCUCCG
rnacentral:tRNA from 2 species